rnacentral:misc_RNA from 1 species
GGGAGACUCCGGCGAGCAAUUCGACGUCAUCGUCGUCGGCGCCGGUAUAAUGGGCAGCUGCGCCGCCUACGAAGCGGCGAAGCGCGGCCACCGCGUGCUCCUCCUUGAGCGUUUCGACUUCCUCCACCACCUCGGCUCCUCCCACGGUGAAUCCCGCACCAUCCGCACCACCUAUCCUGAACCCUACUACCCCUCCAUGGUAAUGGAAUCCUUCCGUCUCUGGGAUCAAGCCCAGUCAGCGGCCGGCUAC